rnacentral:misc_RNA from 1 species
GUGAAAACGCAGCGAAAUGCGAUAAGUAGUGUGAAUUGCAGAAUUCAGUGAAUCAUCGAAUCUUUGAACGCACAUUGCGCCCUUUGGUAUUCCAAAGGGCAUGCCUGUUCGAGCGUCAUUUGUACCCUCAAGCUUUGCUUGGUGUUGGGCGUCUUGUCUCUAGCUUUGCUGGAGACUCGCCUUAAAGUAAUUGGCAGCCGGCCUACUGGUUUCGGAGCGCAGCACAAGUCGCACUCUCUAUCAGCAAAGGUCUAGCAUCCACUAAGCCUUUUUUUCAACUUUUGACCUCGGAUCAGGUAGGGAUACCCGCUGAACUUAAGCAUAUCAAUAAGCGGAGGA